rnacentral:ncRNA from 1 species
CUUAAUUGGAUUGGACCUUGGUAAAGAAACGUACCGAGCGAGAACUUUCAAAUUCAGAGAAACCCUGGAAUUAACAGUGGGCAAUCCUGAGCCAAAUCCUGUUUUUCGCAAAAAUAAAGAAAAGUUAAGAAAGGGAGAAUAAAAAGGAUAGGUGCAGAGACUCAAUGGAAGCUGUUCUAACAAAAGGAGUUGACGAAAUUUCCCUUCGCAUUAGGAAAAAAAUCUUUCCGUCGAAAUUACGGAAAGGAUCAAGAAUAAACGUAUAUAUAUAUAUACAUAUAUGUACUGAAAUAUUAUUUCAAUUGGUUAAUGAAGACUUAAAAUCUCUAUUUGUGAAUAUUUAUAUCACAAAUGAAAGAUGUGCAUCAAAUCAUUUUAAAGUUGAAGAAAUAAUUGAAUAUUCAUUGAUCAAAUCAUUCAUUCCAUGAUAGUCUGAUAGAUCUUUUUAAGAACUUAUUAAUCAGACGAGAAUAAAGAUAGAGUCCCGUUCUACAUGUCAAUACCGACAACAAUGCAAUUUCUAGUAAGAGGAAAAUCCGUCGACUUUAUAAAUCGUGAGGGUUCAAGUCCCUCUUCNNGUGGUUCAAGUCCCUCUAUCCCCA